GGGCCCAUAGUAAAGUGGUAUUACGCGUCCAUGGCAUGGACGAAGGCCGGGUCCGAUUCCCGGUGGGUCCA
rnacentral:tRNA from 1 species